UCUUGACUUGUGAGCUAGUCCGUCGUCUGGUCCUGCUUUCGCAUCCGAAUGAGGACUCCGGAAUCGAAUUGGUCUGUUCGAUUCGCCGACUCCACAAAGAUUGGAACCUGGACUGGUCCGGCGGGCUUGGGAAGGAAGGAAGGAAAGAAGCAAGGAAGGAGAGAGAUCUUAAUUGGCUGCUCAAUAGUCUGAGACGUGGAGCGAGAGAGAGAGAGAGAGGGACUGUAUAUGGAAUAUGAUACGGGCCCGCUUGGUACGAGGAGUUCUCUCGUGGUUUAUUGGCGGGGGGUAGGGCGUUGGCGCCGACGUGUCUGGAGGGUUUUGGAGGUUUGAUGGUUGUGACAACAGGUUGCAUACGCAGUGAAGAUUGGUAAGAGUGGAAACAGGGAUGCGAAUGCGGGAUGGUUGACAUUUGAGGGUGUGCUGAUUUUUGAUUGCAGUCACCUUCGAGUGGAUGUGGAGCACAGAUUGAUUCUUCGCAGGUGCUAAAUUCAGAAUCUUAAUGAUUCUCCUAGCUGCUAUUGGAUGAAAAUAUGAUAGGGAAUUGCGAAGGUGAAGGGAUAAAAUAUUUUAUUUCGGGCACGGAUUGUGGAUUUUUGAAUGCACUUCGAGCAGAUAACCGUGCAAGGGCAUUUGAUUUUGGAUAUUAGAGAGGAUUUAUAGUGAAGGGUUGUGAGAAACAGGAUUAAUACAGUGGACUGAAGUGAUUUUGAGAUUGACAUUGUCUUUUCAAAUUGCAUUUUGCUGAUCAAGACAAACGGGAGUUGCCAGGAGGACCUCACUGGUGUUAAACCCUCGUGCGUGGCAUACAUUAUGUUUAGUAGAACUAAGUUAGUAUAGAGCUGUGUGCAAUUUGGAUUCUCGAAGAUAUUUUAAUGUGACGAAGUGAAGAAGAGCUAUGGCUGUAUAUUCGGGUUCUAGUGCAGGCGUUCCUCGCAUGGAACACAGCUCUGUGAAUUAUGCCGGAAUCCACUCAAGCUCGUCACGGGGUCUGGAUUCACAAUACCGCUUACGAGUCACUUCUUUGCCAAACCAUGCACUUGGUUCCCGGCUUCGUCGACCUGGUGUAAUUAACGCGUUAUUGCAGCACAGUUUAACUAUCCCAGCACUCUCCUUGGAACUCCGAAAUCGAAAAAUGAAAAACCAGUUGCUUCGCAGCUCUUCAAGCUUAGGUGAUGGAAACUCGAGAAAAUUAGUGCGGCCACAAAGCAAUCCAUGUAGAUUACGUCAACGUAAGUUGCAUGUUGUUAAGGCCCAAGUGACGGAAUUAGCCUCAGGCUUAGAUGUAAUCAACAACCUGGGACUGGAUACUCUCACAUUUCUUGGGGCCACUGUGUUGGUUGUUCCAGCAUUCAAAGCUGUCAAACAAAGUCCUAUUUUGGGAUUCCUACUAGCGGGUGUUGUAUUGAAUCAACUGGAAUUGAUCCGAAGCGUUACAGAUGUCAAGGCUUUAGCUGAACUUGGAAUUCUUUUUCUGCUGUUUGAGAUGGGACUGGAGCUUUCUUUAGCGCGUCUUAAAGCUCUGGCGAAAUUUGCUUUUGGCAUAGGACUUGCCCAGGUUGUGCUAUCCACAUUGGCAUUCACAGCCUUUGAACUUCCUCCUAAUAAGGCAAUUGGCACUCAAAUUCUUGAAUUUCUCUUUCACGCUAGGCCGGAUCUUGUGAAUAUUAGAACAGUAGACGAAGCGGUGGUGAUAGGUGCCGCUCUUUCUCUCUCUUCAUCAGCUUUCGUGCUGCAGCUUCUAGCGGAGAAGGGGGAGCUACCGACACGAUUUGGUUCUGCCACUCUGGGUAUUCUGCUUCUACAGGACAUUGCUGUAGUGCCAUUGUUGGUGAUCCUUCCCAUCUUGGAGACUGGGAAUAUUGCGGAUUCCAAUCUUUGGCCUGUUUUGGCAUCGGAAAGUUUGAAAGCUUUGCUUGGACUUGGUCUCAUAUCUCUUGGUGGUCGUCUUUUCCUUCGUCGACUUUUUGAAAUUGUGGCGAAUUCAAGGAGCUCAGAGGCAUUCGUAGCAAUGUGUUUGUUGACGGUUACGGGAACUUCUCUUUUGACACAAAAACUUGGUUUUAGUGACACGCUUGGGGCUUUUCUAGCUGGAGCGUUACUUGCUGAGACUAACUACCGUACUCAGGUGGAAGCAGACAUAAGACCAUUUCGUGGCCUUCUGUUGGGUCUUUUCUUUGUGACCACCGGAACAUCAAUCGACAUUCAGUUAUUGACACGAGAAUGGCCCAAUGUAUUGGCCCUUCUUGCUGGGCUUAUUGCUAUCAAGACCGCUAUCAUUACUGCAAUUGGACCACGAGUAGGGCUAACCUUGUCCGAGAGUGUUCGCACAGGCUUGCUUCUCUCACAAGGCGGGGAGUUUGCGUUUGUCGUAUUUUCUCUCGCCAACCGACUGGGAGUUUUACCGUUAGAGUUGAACAGGCUGUUGAUCAUAGUUGUGGUUCUGUCAAUGGCUUUGACACCGCUUUUGAAUGAAGUGGGUCGUAAGGCAGCAGAAUACAUUGAGAGAGAGUUUGAGGAUGUUUCUCCAACGGACUCAGAAUUACAAGGCGUAAAGAACUUCGAGGCCAACGAACCUGUGGUCAUAAUCGGAUUCGGUCAAAUGGGUCAGGUACUUGCCAACUUUCUGUCUACCCCAUUGGCGACUGGUCUUGGUGGAGAUGCAGCUGGUUGGCCAUAUGUUGCAUUCGAUCUGGAUCCUGGUCGAGUGAAGGCUGCCUGUAAGCUUGGCUUUCCAGUGUUGUAUGGAGAUGGUUCUCGACCUUUAGUCUUACAAACAGCGGGAAUUACGCAGCCAAAGGCGGUAAUGGUGAUGUACACAGGGCGACAAAAGUCAGUUCAGUCAGUGGAACGUCUUCGUCAAGCUUUUCCUCAAGUGCCCAUCUACGCAAGAGCACAAGAUUUGGGACAUCUUUUGGAAUUGAAACAUGCCGGGAUAACUGAUUGCAUACUCGAAAAUGCUGAGACAAGUCUGCAACUGGGAUCAGUGCUUCUACGUGGGCUGGGGGUCAUGUCCGAUGAUGUAAGAUUUUUACGCCGCAUGAUGCGGGAAUCUAUGGAGCUUCGCGCACAGGAGACGGUGGAGAAGAAGGAGAACAAAGAGACUGAUUGGCUAGUCCCUUUCCAGACCAAGGUACGGCAAACUUGGAAGAACAGAAACAUGAAGAAUGACUCGGUGAAGAGGAAAAAUGAAAUCAUCAAUGACCAAGCCUACUGGAUGGAUGCAGGGAGUACCGCUCCUAGUGCAGAUAUAUAUUCGUUAGACAAGGAGAAACUUAGACGAGAAGUUACCAUUAUUGUUUGCCAACAACAACUCUGCAACAGAGGUCAAAAUUUCAUCUACAGAAGUUUUAAAUGGAAACGCUAGUUCUGGGGAAGACGGGUCAACGUCCUCAUCGGUUGUUGCUGUCGCUUCGUCCUCCGGAGUGUUUACUGAUCGGAAACUCCAGCCUGGGGCUGCUGAUCAAGUAUCCAAUCCUGACACCGAAAGCCUUGCUGCCUCUGCGGAGAUCUCUGAUAACGAACCCUCUCCACCUGUGUCGUCUCCAGUCCAACCAGCAAGCAGAGGUAUCGCUAAAUUGAAGUGGCGAAUGAGAACACCAUCACCAGAACCAGAGGAGCUAGAAGACGAGAGAGGAGUGACAUUAUGUGCGUUAGAGGAAGACGAGCGGUACAGAAUGGAGCUUGAGGAAGGCGAGGAGUUGGAGACUAUAGAUGUAACAAUAACAGCAUUAAAUAGGGAUGAAUCGAAAUGAGAUAUUGAUUCAUUAUUUAACAUGGGCACGUACAUGUAUGAUACAUAGAUGUGAGUGGGUAGGCUUGAACAUUUGUGCUUGAGCUUCCACUUACGGCAGAAAGCUGUAAAACGGCUUUGUAGUCAAAUAGACAUUUUAAAGCCAUUAAACCGGCAUUGUUAUUGCAGAUAUCAUGUACACCACAGCAACUGGUUAGCUUUUCUUACAGAAGGAAAUUGCCCUCUUUUUUCA